GUCCUUUAGUAAUUUUAUUUAAGGUCUAGUCUGCCCACUGAAUUUAUAUUUUAAAUGGCCGCAGUAUUUUGACUGUGCAAAGGUAGCAUAAUCAUUAGUUUUUUAAUUAAAAGCUUGUAUGAAAGGCUGGACGAGGUAAAAUCUGUCUCUAUUUAAAUUAUUAUAGAAUUUAACUUUUAAGUUAAAAGGCUUAAAUAUUAUUAAAAGACGAGAAGACCCUAUAGAGCUUUAUAAUUUGUUUAAUAAAAUUAAUUUAGAAUUAUUAAUGUUUUAUUUAAUAAAUUAUUUUAUUGGGGUAAUAGAAAGAUUUGAUUAAUUCUUUUUUAUUAUAAACAUUUAUUUAUGAAUAUUAAAUGAUCCAAUUUUAUUGAUUAUAAGAUUAAGUUACCUUAGGGAUAACAGCGUAAUUUUUUUAGAGAGUUCAUAUCGAUAAAAAAGUUUGCGACCUCGAUGUUGGAUUAAAGAUUAUUUUAGGUGCAGAAGCUUAAAAAUUUUGGUCUGUUCGACCAUUAAAUCUUUAC
rnacentral:rRNA from 1 species